AACACUUAGAGUUUGAUCCUGGCUCAGGACGAACGCUGGCGGUGCGCUUAAUGCAUGCAAGUCGAACGAGAACAGCGGCUUCGGUCGCUAAGUAAAGUGGCAGACGGCUGAGUAACACGUAAGUAACCAACCCCGGAGCGGGGAAUAAUCAUGAGAAAUCGUGCCUAAUACCCCGUACGUCCCAACAGGCGUUGCCGUUGGGGGAAAGGCUUCGGUCGCUCUGGGACGGGCUUGCGGCCUAUCAGGUAGUUGGUGGGGUAAAGGCCCACCAAGCCAUAGACGGGUACCCGGUGUGAGAGCACGAACGGGCAGAGGGGGACUGAGACACGGCCCCCACUCCUACGGGAGGCAGCAGCAGGGAAUCUUGCGCAAUGGGCGAAAGCCUGACGCAGCGACACCGCGUGGAGGAAGAAGGCUUUCGGGUCGUAAACUCCUUUUCUCGGGGAAGAGAACGGACGGUACCCGAGGAAUAAGCAUCGGCUAACUACGUGCCAGCAGCCGCGGUAAUACGUAGGAUGCGAGCGUUGUCCGGAUUUACUGGGCGUAAAGGGCGAGUAGGCUGCCCGCUAAGUCUCAUGUGAAAUCUCCCGGCUCAACUGGGAGGGGUCAUGAGAAACUGGCAGGCUUGAGGUCAGCAGAGGAAAGCGGAAUUCCCGGAGUAGCGGUGAUAUGCGUAGAUACCGGGAGGAACACCAGAGGCGAAGGCGGCUUUCUGGGCUGUAACUGACGCUGAGGCGCGAAAGCGUGGGUAGCAAACAGGAUUAGAUACCCUGGUAGUCCACGCCGUAAACGUUGGGCACUAGGCGUGGUGGCC
rnacentral:rRNA from 1 species